GACGAACCGAGCGAACGUUAUUCGGAAUCACUGGGCUUAAAGGGCGCGUAGGCGGGCGGCCAAGUCAGGGGUGAAAGCCCCCAGCUCAACUGGGGAAGUGCCUCUGAUACUGGUCAUCUCGAGGGAGAUAGGGGCGUGCGGAACUUCCGGUGGAGCGGUGAAAUGCGUAGAUAUCGGAAGGAACACCGGUGGCGAAAGCGGCGCGCUGGAUCUCUUCUGACGCUGAGGCGCGAAAGCCAGGGGAGCGGAACGGG
rnacentral:rRNA from 1 species